GCCGUCUCAGCGAAUCCGUUCGACCUGACGGCAGCCGGCGGCGGCGACCCCACUGCCGAUGACCCCAGCACACUCCAUAGCCAGAACCGGCGCUGCCUCCACCAUGCCACGCUCUCUCCUGCACAAACUGAGCUUGCGAACAUGCAAGACGCAGCACCGGCAGCCCGGCAUCGAAUGCCAUAGCUCGCUGCCGCCCCCUUGGAUGCGACGCGGGCGAAGGGAGAAGCCGAGCGAAAGGAUGCAACCGCGAGCGUGUCUUCUCGCUGCGCGCGCGGUCGUUUCCCGCUGGCGGCGUCCGUGGAGCGCUGCCGCGCAGCAUGCGUAGUCGUAUCAGACGAGGCUGGCAGUUGACUAUGUUCAGACCGCGGCAUAUAAAUCCAAUAGGCUGGCCCGCUCCAAGGAGGGCGCUCAAAGGCGUGCCAGUGUUUCUAGUGAAGCUCUAGACGUACUUCGGCGCAUGAUGGAAUGCUCUAGACGUACUUCAGUGCAUGUAAUGAACUUUGUGACCUGUAUCUGUUUGAUUUGAUGUUCUGAAUAUAUAAAUUCUGAACUUAAUUA